rnacentral:lncRNA from 1 species
UUGAAACUCUGAUAUAUCGGAUCGGUUUCCAUUCUUUUUAGCCUGUCAAUCCAUGAGUGUGAUACAUUACCAAAAACAACAGUUCGUUAACAACUGAUUUAUCAGAAACAUUACAGAAUCAACAGUUCGUUAACAACUCAUAAAGUCAAAAUAACAAUUCAACAACGUGGAAAAGAAUAACAACCUGAGCUUCAAGUUUAGCAAUAUGAGUGAUUAAUGAACCCUUAUCCCUUCAAUUAAUCGAGUCUUCAUCAAAUCCUGCUUCACGAAGACGAACACGGAACAACAAAAUGGUGGCAGCGAGUCUCAUUUGAUCGAUUCGACCACGGCGAUUGGGUUAACAACU